UCUUCCUUUGUCUAUUAAAUCUGAAUGUAUCCAACUUAAACCCUAUUGUAGUAACCUUCACGCUUCUCCUUUGCUCUGCUAUACGUGUUGCUAUUCGUCCUUCCCCUUUUUCAUAUGAGUGAUGGUAUGUAAUGUUAAGUUUGUUAGUCGUAGUAAGACCAUCGGCAUUAUCAUCGCCCUUUUCCGCUUGCACCACAUUUCGAGGUUAUUUUUGGAACAGCGGAUGUUUGGGAGGAUGUUUGUAAAUGUUUGGGGAGUGUAGCCCAAACGUUUGAACAGCUGUGUGUUUUUGUGUGCAUGAGAGAGGGGAUGGGGGAUGGACUGGAUGGUAGGGAUUAGACUAGGGACUGGAGGGAAGGGAAGAGCAGAGGAGGCCAGGGAACAGAUUUAACAAGAUUUUGAAAGGAGUGUGGGGCAUUUCCAGGGGUAGGUUUACGCCCCUACUGGUAGUUUGAUCAUUCUUCUCUACCAUGAACCUAAAAUACCACUCACUUGAACUCGACUGACCACCUGUUUGGCCUUGAAAAUUGUUGAUGUGAGAGGCGAACGCAUCUGACAGUACGGGGGUAGGAGGGAAAGGGAAGAGAGGGGGAUCUCACUACCGCUGUUGCGCCAUGUUGUGUACACUCAUUGCUAUACUACGGACUAAAAAAAAGAGCAAAUGACGCCGUGGUUGUGGUUAGUGCGUCACCCAUACUGCGCAUAAUUCACCUGCCCGAUAAAUAACCUCUUGCAGACCGUAUCAUCCGCACACAUUGAUGAGUAUAACAACCUGGAGCAAUGCGCAGGCCGAGAAAGGGAAGCAGGUGUGUGUUAUCGUACCGCCUUGGUCCUAAUGUGUGACCUGCAUUACUUAUACAUCACUUAUCCUUGAGCUCGAUGUCUGCCUGCAUGGUUACCCGCACGCCUUCACGAGUAGAAUGCAACCUUGUGCAGUAAUUAGCUUGUGGAAGUCAGGCAAGAGUGUGUGUUUGUGUGUGUGUGUGUGUGUGUCACCUUCAUGCCAAAUCGUAUUAACUUGUCCUUGUGGUUGUUGCAUAUCACCUUUCGCCCUUGGUACGUGUUGAUAGGAGGGCAAAACAAACAAAAAAUAAAUAAAUAAGAAAACCACGUUCCUCCAUAUAAAAGAGAAGAGGAAGAAGCCAAUUAAGAGAAUGUUCAGAUAGUCAGAGAGGGGUCUUGAUAACCCCCAACCCCCCACCCCUCAAUAAUUGUGUGCCUAUUGUGGAUUUAGAGACAUAUUCCGGUCCAGAAACAAGAUAGUGAAUGGAACAAAUUUAAUUGAUGUAUAGCUUAUAAUAAAAUACAAAUACAAAGGAAAGCGGUAAAUUGAGGUGAGAUAGAUUUGUGGACGGGCCCAAUGAGAAAAAAUGAUUGCCUAUUCCUGAUGAGCUUUUCACCUUUUUUCAACUUUUACCGGCCUCCAAGGCAUUAUUCAUAGAGCUCAAAGUAACGUAGCAUCAUCUGCAUACCUUGUCACGUAGUAUUGAGGCAACGAAUCCUUGAUGUGGAGAGCCGGAGGCUGCCGGCAACUUGUCUCCCCUGCCUUGUGCGCCGAGCUGCCGAAAUGCUACUUUAAAACUAUUAGUACUGAUUCAUUUAACACGUGGAUGUGAGAGAUAAAUGGGCUGUUUUUUGAGACCGAGGUCGUGGGUUUUAGGAUGGGAUUGAGCGGGAACACAGUCCACACUAUCUGGCAAGUUUGGAGCGAUCCCAACUUCCCAGAAUCUGAUCACGUAUUGGUGUGAGGUGACUACCCGUGGCGGGCGUCACUCGUCAGAGGUGAUAUAAAGGAUGAGCGAGUAACUGCCAACUCAGUUCUCGCGCUGGGCGUCGAAGGGGUAGGACCACGCUGCUCAAGGGACUAGGUUUUUUUUUUUUCCUGUACAGGGUUAUCAGGCCCUCCAGUGAUUUGUUAUCUGGUUUAUAUGCACAGAAAUAAGAUUGUUGGGUUGACGCACACUGGAGGAGUUUCGUGAUGUAGUGUAGACCAACUUUGUCUAAUGUUUGCUCCUGUUGAAGAAGGUUUGUGUUGUAGCCUUACCUUGUUGCUCUGCUGUUCCCAUUGUUCUCUUCUUCCUGUUCCCGAAGUGUUGUAAUGAAGUGUACUCCGGAUUUUUCUGCCCCUGGUAUUUUUUCCCCGUGUAAUUUUACUUUAUCACCUGUGUACUGGCUGGACAUACAACUGCCUCCGGCGAAUCCCCUGAUGGUUAUAAAUAAAGUUUGAUCUAUGUAAGCAGCCGACCGACGCAGACUGCCAACACAGCGCGGUGAGAUGGGAGAAAGAUACAGCGAGUACAGCAAGAGUUUGUCGGGGGUCUGAGAGUGGAGGAACUUUUUUUCCCCCCCUUUCCCUCAAGGUUGCAGCAACGAAAGUAGUUAUAAGUAAAAUGAAUAAUAAUAAUAAUAAACAAGAACAUGAGGUAGGUCCCAAGUGUCUUCAUAAGGGACUUAGCGUGUUGAUCUUAUUGAUUAUUUGUUUGUUUUUGUCCUGAUUUUUUUUUUUUUUUACCGUCACCAGCAAGGACAUCAAGAACAGGAAUAAACAACAACAACAAGCGGGGUAUAUCCCGAGCAUUUUGUCAACCAUUUUUUAUUUAUUUUUUACCUUCACGUAAGGACGCAGCACAGGAAAAUAAAUCGACAAAUAAACCUCCUUUGCCUUCUGCUGCUCCCUGCUAGUCGUCGUGUCGCAGCAGAGUGAAGACAUGCCGCGUGGAAGGGGAAAUGAAAGCGCGGAAGUAUUGGAAAAUUACCCCCAAGUUCAGGAAACCACCCAUGGAAACAGUGACUUUCUCCCAGAGUACCUCUUGAAACAGGUGGAGUAAGCCUUCUAAGAGUUUAAGAAUGAUCUCAGGUGGACGGCUGACAACUGGCUUCAGGUGGACGAGAAAAUGGUAAUGUGAAAGAGAAUGGGAUGAGGCGGGGGGCCGAGAUAAGGGCAGUGUGAAGGAUAAAGAAUGGGAUGUGAGGUGGACAAGAUAAGGGUGAUGUGAAGGAUAAAGAGAUGUGGUAAGGUGGACGAGAUAAUGAUAAAUGUUAAAGAUAAAGAAAACGGUAUGUGGUGUGGGCAAAAUGCUAACCUGAAAAAGAAAAAAAAAAAUGAAGAGGUGAACGAGAAUGGUAGAUAAUGGUAACUUGAAAAAUAAAGAGAAUGGGGUGUGGUGAGGUGAUCUUUGUUAGAAAAUGAUAUGAAAAAAAGGUUAAUAUUAAGAUACACAAGAUAAUGGUAACAGGUAAAUUUAAGAGAAUGGGAUGUCUUGAAGAGGACGAUACAUGGUGAAUAAUAACGUGAAAAAUGAAGGUGAAUGAGAACGGUGGAUAAUGGUAGCUUGAAAAAAUGAAGAGAAUGGGAUGUGGUAGAUAAUGGUUAAAAUAAAGUUUGAGGUGAGCGAGAUAAUGGUAAGAAGAAAAAAAUAAAAAGAAUGGGAUGUCUUGAAGUGGAUGAUAAUGAGAACGUGAAAAAUGAAGGUGAACGAGAAUGGUGGAUUAUAAUAGUAACUUGAAUCUUGAAGGAAAUGGGUUGUCUUGAAGUGGUGAAAAAAUGAAGGUGAACGAGAACGGUGGCUAAUGGUAGCUUGAAAAAUGACGAGAAUGGAAUGUGGUAGAUAAUGGUAAGGUAAAAAUAAAGUUUGAGGUGAACGAUAGAUAAUGGUAAGAGGAAAAAAUAAAAAGAAUAAGAUGACAUGAAGUGGAUGAUAAUGAUAGCUUGAAAAAUGAAGGUGAACGAGUACGGUGGAUAUUGACUGCUUGGAAAGUGAAGAAAAUGCUAUGUGUUUAAGUGGACGAUAUCUGAAUAGUGAUAACGUGGAAAUGAAGGUGAACGAGAAUGGUGAAUACUGGUUGUUUUAAAAGUGAGGUAUUAAAAUAUAAGAAGAAAGCCAGGAAUGAAAAGUUGAUUAGAAACAGAGGAGGAGGAGGAUAACAAACUCGUGUCUAUGUGUUCCGAGUGCAUUGUGCCAGUGGAAUUGUGGCCCAGAAGGAGACUUAGUACGUUAAUUAACAAUAUAUGGAAUGGAACAAAUGUCUAAGUUAACUAAUAAAGGAGCGAAGUGAA